rnacentral:rRNA from 1 species
UACGUAGGGACCAAGCGUUGUCCGGAAUCAUUGGGCGUAAAGAGCGUGUAGGCGGUCCGUUAAGUCGGCUGUGAAAGUCCAAGGCUCAACCUUGGGAUGCCGGUCGAUACUGCCGGACUAGAGUUCGGAAGAGGCGAGUGGAAUUCCCGGUGUAGCGGUGAAAUGCGCAGAUAUCAGGAAGAACACCGUGGCUAAGGCGGCUCUCUAGUACGGUACUGACGCUGAGACGCGAAAGCGUGGGGAGCGAACAGG